ACCAGCCAGCUGCCCAAAAGCAACUGUUCCUGUGUUCCUGAGAUGGCACAGCCCUGGGGUGACAGACAUCACACAGGACUCAGAGUGUUGGCUGCUGCUUUCCAUUUUGGGCAGACACAACAAUUCCUCUCCAGGCCUGGCAAUCAAGGACACCUCACUGCCUCAGGCCCCAGAGAUGGAAACAAAAAGAGCAUUGGGCAAUGAAGAGACAGAAAAGGGACAAGGAGAGAUUAAACACACCACAGCACCUCUGCUGCAGAAAAAAGCCUCCAUAAGCCUCUCUCCACUACCUGCAGGCUGCAGAUUCUUUGCUUCUUUUCUCUGCCAAGGUCAGGAUUAAAUGUGUGAGAUGAUAUUUCUUGUUGGGACUCAGAUGUUUAUUGGUUCUUAUCUCUGUUACAGUCUCACAAACCUUGAGUUCUACAGCACUUCACUCUAACAAACUAAAAAUGGAGCCCUGUCUCUCUCUCUACAAGGCCUUUUAAGGGAAAACUGUCCAAUUGAGAAAUGACACCUCAAUUAUUUUUAUUUUUAACCCA